rnacentral:rRNA from 1 species
GGAGUUAUCGUUUGGAUAAUGACCGAGGCUGAGCGAAAAUUCAACGAAGCAUAAAGCAAAAAGACAAGCCCAAGAAAAGUAUAAAUAAUUAAGUGCAAGUGGUAGGAGAGCGUUGCAUUCAGCGUCGAAGGUGUACCGGUAAGGAGCGCUGGAGCGAAUGCAAGUGAGCAUGCAGGCAUGAGUAGCGAUAAUUGGGGUGAGAAUCCCCAACGCCGUAAACCCAAGGUUUCCUACGCGAUGCUCGUCAUCGUAGGGUUAGCCGGGUCCUAAGCAAAGUCCGAAAGGGGUAUGCGAUGGAAAAUUGGUUAAUAUUCCAAUGCCAACUAUAAUGUGCGAUGGAAGGACGCUUAGAGUUAAGCAAGCUAGCGGAUGGUAGUGCUAGUCGAAAGGUGUAGGUUAAGAUCCAGGCAAAUCCGGAUCUUUUUAAGCCGAGACCCCACAGGCGUUUGAAGUUCUUCGGAAUGGAUAGCGAAUUGCUGAUACUGUCGAGCCAAGAAAAGUUUCUAAGUUUAGUUAUAGUUGCCCGUACCGUAAACCGACACAGGUGGGUGGGAUGAGUAUUCUAAGGCGCGUGGAAGAACUCUCUUCAAGGAACUCUGCAAAAUAGCACCGUAUCUUCGGUAUAAGGUGUGCCUAGCUUCGUUAAGAAUUUACUUCGUAAGCGAAGAAGGUUACAACAAAGAGUCCCUCCCGACUGUUUACCAAAAACACAGCACUCUGCUAACUCGUAAGAGGAUGUAUAGGGUGUGACGCCUGCCCGGUGCUCGAAGGUUAAUUGAUGACGUUAGCUCUGCGAAGCGUUUGAUCGAAGCCCGAGUAAACGGCGGCCGUAACUAUAACGGUCCUAAGGUAGCGAAAUUCCUUGUCGAUUAAAUAUCGACCUGCAUGAAUGGCGUAACGAGAUGGGAGCUGUCUCGAAGAGGGAUCCAGUGAAAUUGUAGUGGAGGUGAAAAUUCCUCCUACCCGCGGCAAGACGGAAAGACCCCGUGGACCUUUACUACAGCUUGACACUGCUAUUGGGAUAAAAAUGUGCAGGAUAGGUGGGAGGCUUUGAUCCAUAGACGCCAGUUUAUGGUGAGCCAUUGUUGAGAUACCACUCUUUUUUAUUCUGAUAGCUAACUAGCUUGAGUUAUCCUCAAGUAGGACAAUGUCUGGUGGGUAGUUUGACUGGGGCGGUCGCCUCCCAAAAUGUAACGGAGGCUUACAAAGGUUGGCUCAGAACGGUUGGAAAUCGUUCGCAGAGUAUAAAGGCAAAAGCCAGCUUAACUGCGAGACAUACACGUCAAGCAGGGACGAAAGUCGGUCUUAGUGAUCCGGUGGUUCUGUGUGGAAGGGCCAUCGCUCAAAGGAUAAAAGGUACCCCGGGGAUAACAGGCUGAUCUCCCCCAAGAGCUCACAUCGACGGGGAGGUUUGGCACCUCGAUGUCGGCUCAUCGCAUCCUGGGGC